rnacentral:rRNA from 1 species
AGAGCGAACGCUGGCGGCAGGCUUAACACAUGCAAGUCGAGCGGGCGUAGCAAUACGUCAGCGGCAGACGGGUGAGUAACGCGUGGGAACAUACCUUUUGGUUCGGAACAACACAGGGAAACUUGUGCUAAUACCGGAUAAGCCCUUACGGGGAAAGAUUUAUCGCCGAAAGAUUGGCCCGCGUCUGAUUAGCUAGUUGGUGAGGUAACGGCUCACCAAGGCGACGAUCAGUAGCUGGUCUGAGAGGAUGAUCAGCCACAUUGGGACUGAGACACGGCCCAAACUCCUACGGGAGGCAGCAGUGGGGAUAUUGGACAAUGGGCGCAAGCCUGAUCCAGCCAUGCCGCGUGAGUGAUGAAGGCCCUAGGGUUGUAAAGCUCUUUUGUGCGGGAAGAUAAUGACGGUACCGCAAGAAUAAGCCCCGGCUAACUUCGCGCCAGCAGCCGC